rnacentral:rRNA from 1 species
GACGAACGCUGGCGGCGUGCUUAACACAUGCAAGUCGAACGGAAAGGCCCUGCUUUUGUGGGGUGCUCGAGUGGCGAACGGGUGAGUAACACGUGAGUAACCUGCCCUUGACUUUGGGAUAACUUCAGGAAACUGGGGCUAAUACCGGCUAGGAGCUCCUGCUGCAUGGUGGGGGUUGGAAAGUUUCGGCGGUUGGGGAUGGACUCGCGGCUUAUCAGCUUGUUGGUGGGGUAGUGGCUUACCAAGGCUUUGACGGGUAGCCGGCCUGAGAGGGUGACCGGCCACAUUGGGACUGAGAUACGGCCCAGACUCCUACGGGAGGCAGCAGUGGGGAAUAUUGCACAAUGGGCGGAAGCCGGAUGCAGCAACGCCGCGUGCGGGAUGACGGCCUUCGGGUUGUAAACCGCUUUCGCCUGUGACGAAGCGUGAGUGACGGUAAUGGGUAAAGAAGCACCGGCUAACUACGUG